rnacentral:rRNA from 1 species
AUGCAGCGCGGCAUGGACGCGUCGAUCUCGGCGCUGUGCGGCUCCCUCUCCGAGGUGCUCACCGACGCCGACGACUCCUCCCGCGCGCUCUCCGACGCCCUCUCCCGCCGCGCCAUCCCCCUCGAGGUGGAGGACGAGGUGGAGGAAGGUGCAGACUUGGGGGACCUUGAUGUCCCCGGGAAUGGGCUCUUGGGAGGGUCAAGCUCGGUCCUCAGGUCUGCCCGGAAGCACUUCGACGACGAUGAACUUGUUGAUGAUGACCAAAAGAUCUUGGAGGAAGCUGAAGAACCCACACCUCCCCAAAUUGAAACCUAUGAGCAAGAUGACAAUGCUUUCCAAGGAAUGAUAAGGGCGUCGAAGGAGGAGUACGAUAAACUUCCUCCUUACAUGAAGACUCUUGCAUCAUGGGAGGAAUUGCAUGACGCCGUUUCAAAACUAAAUGCAUACUUUGGUGGUGAUAAGGCUCAGGGAAGUUUAAAUCAGGAUGAUGUUGCAUCAAUCGGCUUGGGGCGCAAAGGAAGAUCCUACUUGUUGAUCCUUAUGCGGUUGAAUCAACUGGCUAUGGAGACGAUUGAUGGCUCAAUCUUCUACAACCUACGCAAGAACGACUCCUAG